rnacentral:rRNA from 1 species
UACGUAGGGUGCGAGCGUUAAUCGGAAUACUGGGCGUAAAGCGUGCGCAGGCGGUUCUGAAAGUCAGCUGUGAAAGCCCCGGGCUUAACCUGGGAAUGGCGGUUGAAACUACAGGACUAGAAUCUGGCAGAGGGGGGUGGAAUUCCACGUGUAGCAGUGAAAUGCGUAGAGAUGUGGAGGAACACCGAUGGCGAAGGCAGCCCCCUGGGCUGAGAUUGACGCUCAGGCACGAAAGCGUGGGGAGCAAACAGG